CUUCAAGUAGCUCAGCACUCAGCAGUUCUGAUUUGGCAUGGCAGCAGACAGUCACAGUGCCAUUUGUGGGAGUAUCUGCUUAAUGCAGUCCUAGCUCCGUGCAGAGAGAUACUGUGCUCUGCUCGUUAAACAAGAUUUAUAAGCCAGGGAGCUGUUCCUGCAGAGGGAGGUCACAAUGUAACUGGGAAAUCGGACACAAGCCCCUCACAGUCUCUUUCUUCUUGAAGGCUCCACCACCGCAUCCCUGUACCUCCUGGGAGGCAAAGAAGUACGCCUGGCACGCUUCAUGAUCCCUGGGGCCUAAAGUUCAAGAUAUCCAGCACAGAAGAAAGUUCUCCUCGAAGUCUGGAGGCAGGAAGAGGCCGAAUCCACUGGAACAGGACCCUAUAAAGGCAAGAGAGUAUAUAUCUAUACCGAUAUGUAAAAGAAGAAACAGCAGGGACUUGCGUUCACACCUCUAUAAGCAUAUUGUAAAAGGAGGAUCCGCACUCACUGGACCUGUAAAUGUCCAACAUUGUUGAAGCAAAUAAUGUGGGUUUCUGGAGCUGAAGAUAUCUCAUGGGAGAGUUGACUUGCAACAAGGGACUCUCUUCUCACCAUCAGACAAGACGCAACUACGACAAGACCGGCGGGAGGGACAUAAUUUUGGUCCUGAUUUCUCACUGAAUGCCACAAUUACCUCAUAGGAUUGAGGUUAAUUUCGAGUAUAUAUCUAUACCGAUAUGUAAAAGAAGAAACAGCAGGGACUUGCGUUCACACCUCUAUAAGCAUAUUGUAAAAGGAGGAUCCGCACUCACUGGACCUGUAAAUGUCCAACAUUGUUGAAGCAAAUAAUGUGGGUUUCUGGAGCUGAAGAUAUCUCAUGGGAGAGUUGACUUGCAACAAGGGACUCUCUUCUCACCAUCAGACAAGACGCAACUACGACAAGACCGGCGGGAGGGACAUAAUUUUGGUCCUGAUUUCUCACUGAAUGCCACAAUUACCUCAUAGGAUUGAGGUUAAUUUUGGUAAGCAUAUUGGCUUUCAUUCAUCCCUUUCUCAUGGCUUGAUCACAGUUGAGUAUACAUUGGCUCUCACCUAUCACUCUCUCACAGUUUGAUCACAGUAAAGUGUAUAUAACUGAGUGGGACUGCAACCUUGGACAUAUACUUUGUUCUAAAAAAAGACUUUCUUCUAGUGCG